rnacentral:rRNA from 1 species
GACUGCGGAGAUCAUUAAAAAAUAAUCACAGUUUUGUGAUUUUAAUAAUCAUCCUACCCUUUGUGAAUUUGUUUUGUAAAGAAAAUUUAUGUUGUCUAUCCCUGGUGGUUUUUUGGAAAAGUUGAAAAACUUUUUCGAAUCCUCAGGGACUAGGCUUUCAUAGACCUUUUUUUAAAUUAAACUUUUUGUAUUCAUUUGUCUAAAAUUUAUUUUUAAUAAUUUAAAAACAACUUUUGACAAUGGAUCUCUUGGUUCUCGCAACGAUGAAGAACGCAGCAAAAUGCGAUAAGUAAUGUGAAUUGCAGAAUACGUGAAUCAUCAAAUCUUCGAACGCAUAUUGCACUUUUCUAGUUUACUAGAAAAGUAUGUCUGUUUGAGUAUCAGUAAAAUAUUCUCAUAAAAAACAUUGUUUUUUAUGGUUAUGAGUGUUUUACAACGAUAAACAAGUUGUUUCACUUUAAAUUGAUUUUUAAAAGCCAAUUUUUGGUUUUAUCUAAUAAAAUUGGAUAAAAUUUUCCCGUAAAAAGGAAUAACUUUUCAGUUUUAAUAGUUAAAACUUAAUUGUGCCUAAUUAAAAGGAAAUUUAACAAAAUAACUUGAUCUCAAAUCAGAUAAGAGUACCCGCUGAACUUAAGCAUAUCAAUAAGCGGAGGA